rnacentral:rRNA from 1 species
AGGGUUCGAUUAUGGCUCAGGACGAACGCUGGCGGCGCGCCUAACACAUGCAAGUCGAACGGAGUUAGAUGGCGGAAGUUUUCGGAUGGAAGCGAUUUAACUUAGUGGCGAACGGGUGAGUAACACGUGAGGAACCUGCCUUUCAGUGGGGGACAACAGUUGGAAACGACUGCUAAUACCGCAUAAGACCACAGCACCGCAUGGUGCAGUGAUCAAAGGAUUUAUUCGCUGAAAGAUGGACUCGCGUCCGAUUAGCUAGAUGGUGAGGUAACGGCCCACCAUGGCGACGAUCGGUAGCCGGACUGAGAGGUUGAUCGGCCACAUUGGGACUGAGACACGGCCCAG